rnacentral:rRNA from 1 species
UGCAAGUCGAACGAUGAAGCCUUUCGGGGUGGAUUAGUGGCGAACGGGUGAGUAACACGUGGGCAAUCUGCCCUUCACUCUGGGACAAGCCCUGGAAACGGGGUCUAAUACCGGAUAACACUCNGNCCCGCAUGGGANGGGGUUAAAAGCUCCGGCGGUGAAGGAUGAGCCCGCGGCCUAUCAGCUUGUUGGUGGGGUAAUGGCCUACCAAGGCGACGACGGGUAGCCGGCCUGAGAGGGCGACCGGCCACACUGGGACUGAGACACGGCCCAGACUCCUACGGGAGGCAGCAGUGGGGAAUAUUGCACAAUGGGCGAAAGCCUGAUGCAGCGACGCCGCGUGAGGGAUGACGGCCUUCGGGUUGUAAACCUCUUUCAGCAGGGAAGAAGCGCAAGUGACGGUACCUGCAGAAGAAGCGCCGGCUAACUACGUGCCAGCAGCCGCGGUAAUACGUAGGGCGCAAGCGUUGUCCGGAAUUAUUGGGCGUAAAGAGCUCGUAGGCGGCUUGUCACGUCGGAUGUGAAAGCCCGGGGCUUAACCCCGGGUCUGCAUUCGAUACGGGCUAGCUAGAGUGUGGUAGGGGAGAUCGGAAUUCCUGGUGUAGCGGUGAAAUGCGCAGAUAUCAGGAGGAACACCGGUGGCGAAGGCGGAUCUCUGGGCCAUUACUGACGCUGAGGAGCGAAAGCGUGGGGAGCGAACAGGAUUAGAUACCCCUGGUAGUCCACGCCGUAAACGUUGGGAACUAGGGUGUUGGCGACAUUCCACGUC